AUAGCCUUCUUUCUUAAUUUCAGUUCCGUUUUCAUUUUGAAUGAAAAAAAUUACCUGAUUUACCAUACUGUGUGACUGCUUCUUGAACUGGAGAGAUGCAGCCUGUAGGCAACAAGGGAAUUCAUUUCUUCUGGAAUCAUCUUGGGGGACCAGGAAGCGCUCUCCAGUGUUGUUUUCUAGCCUCAUGAAUGCCAGGGCUACAUUGGCCAAAUUAUGCAGGGAUUCAAAGGGCCAUAUUCUUCCUUGUUUGUUGAGUUUGACCCCUCUUAAUUGGGAGGUGGUUCUUCAUGUCUUGUCUAACUCCACAGCCACCAAGUUAGAAGAUUAUAGACUAUUUGCUUUGCAAAGAACUAGAGAAGUCACUGGCUUGUCACUUCAUUUUAUAGUUGAGGAAACUGAGGUCCUCAGAGGAAGAGCAACUUGGAAACAGUCUGCAUCAGAACUAAUAGUGGAGUCCAAUUUCUCCCAUCUGUGAUCUAGAGAUUUUUGUGCUAUACAGCUGGUCUACAAAUACCAUCCUGUCGGUCAGUUUUGUGCUCAGUAGAGAUGGGAAACAGCUGUUUAAAAUGAUGUGCUUACAGGAUUUCUCCCUUCCUUAAAUAGUAACAGUAACUUGUAAGAAAUUAGUAAUUUGUUAAAUGUAUUAUAAUGACUAUGCCUUUAAUUAAUUGUAGGUUUAAUUCCAUUAGAAACAUAUUACUUGCUAAUUAUCAAGCAGUGCUGUUCAGUAGUGUGAGCCACACACAUAAUUUAAAAUUUUCUAGUAGCCACAUUGAAAAAAGUAAAAAGAAAUAGAUGAAAUUUGUUUUAGUAAUAUUUUUAACCCAAUACAUUCAAAAUAUUAUUUCAACAUGUAUUCUGUAUAAAAAAUAAUAAUGAGGGCCCUGCCUGCCGCACCUCUCCUUCUAUAUCUCCAGCCAAAGCCGCAGGCCUGGCCCGGAUCCCGGCACCAUGAGCUUCGGCUCGGAGCACUAUCUGUGCUGCUCCUCCUCCUACCGCAAGGUGUUCGGGGACGGCUCCCGCCUGUCCGCGCACCUCUCCGGGGCCGGCGGUGCGGGCGGCUUCCGUUCACAGUCCCUGUCCCUGUCCAGCAGCAAUGUGGCUUCCUCGACCGCCUGCUCCUUGGCCUUGUAGCUCGGCCUCGGCCUGGCCUAUCGCCGGCAUCCGAUGGGCUGGACCUGAGCCAGGCGGCGGCGUGCACCAACUAGUACAAGAUCAUCCGCACCAACGAGAAGGACCAGCUGCAGGGACUCAGCGACCGCUUUGCGGUGUUCUUCGAGAAGGUGCAUCAGCUGGAGACGCAGAACCACGCCUGGAGGCCGAGCUGGCUGCGCUGUGGCAGCGCCACGCUGAGCGGUUGCGCGUCGGCGAGCUCUUCCAGCGCGAGCUGCGAGACCUGGGCGCGCAGCUGGAGGAGGCGACCUCGGCACACAUGCAGGCCCUGCUGGAGCGCGACGGGCUGGCCGAGGAGGUGCAGCAGCUGCGGGCGCACUGUAAGGAGGAGAGCCGUGGUCCUGAAGGUGCCGAGCACGCCCUGAAGGCGCAGCAGUGCGAUGUGGACGGCGCCAUGCUGGCCCGCCUGGACCUGGAGAAGGUGGAGUUGCUGCUGGACGAGCUGGCUUUCGUGCGCCAGGUGCGCGACGAGGAGGUAGCCGAGCUGCUGGCCACGCAGCAGGCGUCAUCACAGGCCGCGGCCGAGGUGGACAUGGCUUUGGCUAAACCAGACCUGAGCUCGGCGCUGAGGGAGAUCCGUGCCUAACAUGAGUCCCUGGCUGCUAAGAACCUGCAGUCCGCGGAGGAAUGGUACAAGUCCAAGUUCGCCAACCUGAACGAGCAGGCGGCGUGCAGCACCGAGGCCAUCCGAGCCAGCCGCGAGGAGAUCCACGAGUACCGGCGCCAGCUGCAGGCGCGCACCAUCGAGACCGAGGGCCUGUGCGGGGCCAGCGAGUCCUUGGAGAGGCAGAUCCUGGAACUGGAGGAGCGGCACAAUGCCGAGGUGGCUGGCUACCAGGAUAGCAUUGGGCAGCUAGAGAAUGAUCUGAGGAACACCAAGAGUGAGAUGGCACGCCACCUUCGGCAAUACCAGGACUUGCUCAAUGUCAAAAUGGCUCUUGACAUUGAGAUAGCAGCUUACAGGAAACUGCUGGAAGGCGAAGAGACACGUUUUAGCACCAGUGGGUUAAGCAUUUCGGGACUGCAUCCACUUCCCAAUCCAAGUUAUCUGCUCCCAUCUAGAAUCCUCAGUUCAACCUCCAAAGUCUCAUCCACUGGGCUAUCACUUAAGAAAGAGGAAGAGGAGGAGGAGGCAUCUAAGGUAGCCUCUAAGAAAACCUCCCAGAUAGGGGAAAGUUUUGAAGACAUAUUAGAGGAGACAGUAAUAUCUACUAAGAAAACUGAGAAAUCAGAUAUAGAAGAAACUACCAUUUUGAGCCAAAAAAUAUAAUUCCAUUGCUUUGAAAGAGUUAAUGCUUAAGAGGGAAUGAUAUGCAUUUGACCUGUUAAACAGCCUGUUCCUGAAACGUAGCACCUACCACACCACUAUGAAAUGUCUUCAAGGCUUCAGUCUCAUAUUUAGUAUUGAAUACUUACAUUCUUUAAUAAGAAAACCACCCCUUAGAUUGAAGUGAACUACAGUCCUGGAGCGAUCACAGAUGAGUUAUCUAAGAAUACAGCUUUCAGACCUUCAGCUCGCGCUUCACAGUGAUUGAUGAUUCAGGUGCAGAGGAAGUACAAUCUAAGGUGCUAAAUCUGUGACCAUCGUCAUUUGCUGUGAACUGAAAUCAUUCACUCCACCCAGCCAUUAUCCAGCUAAAUGAUCUUACUCUAGAUACCUAAAACAUAAGAUCAGUGCCAAAGAUAAACUAAUGGUCCACACCCAGUUCCACUCUGAUAGAACUGUUUCCCAAAUAAUAGGUGUUUGUUUAAUGGACACUUUCCACCUCCCUCAAUUCCAUAUAUCCUUUUCUUCCAUGCAGGAAAAAAAAAAAUAGUCUACUGUAGUAUUCUUCCCUUUUAAACACAUUUUGGUUCUUCUCAAAAUAACUUACCCUGUUGGCUCUCUUUGCUCAGUGGCUAAAAUUAGAUGCAUGUUGACCAUGUCUAUGAUUCGUGUAAUGACUCAUCCCUGCCCAUUUCAUAUUCUUUCAAUUCUGUAGGUUAAAAAAAAAUGGCAGUGAUGAAUUUUAAGGGUUUUCCCCAACAAAUAAAAUAAUGAAAAGAAUCCCUAGACUUUAGGCUUUCAGCUUACACAAAUCCAUUUAAUUAGGAGAAAAAAACUAUUAAGGAUGUAGUUUUUCACCUUUACUUUAGAAGCUCAGUAAAUAGUUAUCCACACUGUGAUUAAGCUGAACUUACAUUUACUAGUAUAAGCUAGAAGAAGUGAGUGUUUCUAUGAGUGGAAAAAGCCAAGGUGUCAUUUAUGUGUCAGUUCAUUUGUGGUGAUAUAGAAUUAGCUUUUUCAUGCCCUUACCCUUAGAAUCCACUCAUUGCCUUUCCCACUAGUCUAGGUCCUAAAGAGGCCUUGCUUUCACUCUCGUAUGCCUUUUACGAGUACUAAGUAUAGGAUAUUUUGUCACCAGAACACAAUGCUAUUGCCCCAAAGUAAAAGAAACCACUUCUGGUCGAUCAAUACCACCAACAAAUAUAAAAAAGGAAAUCUUUCUCUUUUCUAAAAGACUUCCCCAACAUUUAUCCCAUGGCUGCACAGUUGGUAGGGUCCUGCUGGAGAGGAAGAGACACUCAGACCAGAGGAGGGGUGUGCAUGCGCCUACUGGCUUGCUAGAAGUAGAUUCUGGACAGUCAGCACUUCGUCUGCCCAACUGUGUAGCAUCUGCGUUGCCCAGUCUUUCACUUGUGCCAAGGCUGAUGCAGGGUUUGUUCUCUGUCCAGCAGUCACUUCUGCCAGAGCUAAGUAGUUGCCCCGUCUUUCUUCCAUGUCUCCUUUAAGAGCUCUGGUGAUAAGGACAUGAUGCUUUUACUGAACUUUCUUAUCCGAGCACAUGCUUCAAAUAGUUCAAGGAACUUGAAAGAUACUUUUCUCUUCCUUACCUUUACCCCAUCCCUAUCUUUACUCCUCACCCUUACUGUAAGACAUUAGUAAAAUAAGAAAUUAAAAGUCACAUGAAUCACACCAAAAAAAAAAAUAAUGAGAUAUUUCACAUUUAUCUUUUGCACUAAGUCUUUGAAAUCUCGUGUGUGUUUUACAUUUAAAGCACACCUCAGUUCAGUUUGGUCACAUUUCAAGUGUUAGUGGCCCAUGGGGCUAGAGUCCUAUAUUGGACAGCAUUGCACAGAGCAACUUCGGGCAGAAAAGUAGAUGGAAAAACAUGUUAAAGACAUGCCUACCAGAGAUAAACACUAUCAAUGUUUUAAUUCACUUCUGCCAGCCUUUUUCCCCUGUGCAUACUUUUCUGGUGGGUGUUAUACAUGGUUGAGAUUGUACUCUAGGUUCAGAUUUGCACUCUGCUGUGUAGUUGGUUUGAGGACCACUGGACUUACAGAAGAAAUAGUAGACCUCACUUUAGUCCUGGUUGUGCUGUUAUAUAGUCACUUAUUAAGCUACAUCAGCAUUUGUUCUUUAUCUGUAAAAGGGAGGUGUUGAAGUAUAUGAUCUUUGAUUCUUUUUAAGUUAUUUUGAAUGUGCAAGUCAGCUUUAACCAAAGUUUAAUAAAGAGCGCUCUGCCUUAACACUUAGAGAGUACGAAGAGACUCCAGUACUUUCUGACUUAAACUGUACUCUUGGCUUUCUUUUUCCUCCAAUAUUUUAUCAUGAACAUUUUCAAACCUACAGAAAAGUUGAAACAAUUUUAGUUAACACUAAAGGUGGUGCAGCUACUCUACCCACCACUAGAUUCCACUGUUACAUUUGUAGUAUACUUGCUUCCUCAUUUUUAUCUGUCCAUCCAUUCAUCCGUCUUAUUUUUUUUGUAUUUCAAAGUAAGUCGCAGACAUCCCUAUGCUUUCCCCUAAGUAUACUCUUUACUUUUGAACCAGAGGUCUGGCAUCUUACGCACCUGACCAUGUUUCUAUGUCCUAAUUUGAUGCUUUGUUUU